UGUUACUUUUUCAUCAGCCUGUUUCCCCGACUUCUAGCAGGUUAAUUGACUCCAUUUGUGUGUCAAGGCCAGUCACGGCUUUUUUCUGUAAAUGACUCCUGUCUUGUCUGAUGACACAAUUAAAAUCUGAAUUGCUUCUAAACCAAAAAAAAAAAACCAACCCCAAACCCAGGGGAACUGAAACUUUUCCAAGCAGUGGAUGUUGUGGAAGGAUGGGAUCCUGCCUCAAUGGUUACGAGUUUUCAUUGCCACUUCCCUCUGGUUCGCUUCCUCUGCAGAAGGGGAUGGGGACCCGCAAGGAGUGCUUUCCGCUUAGAGGCACCAGCUCCACUCGGGAGAAGCAUUCCCUGCAGAGAGGAUUGGGGUGGGAGCCCCACCCUAGCACGGAAAUUCAAGGGGAGCCAAUUAAUUGUGUUUGAAUGCCAAACAGCAUCCUUGGGCCAGGGACAUGGGAUUUUACCUGAGGCCUGUUUGCAGAUGUCACAGGAGGAGCUGCUGCAAACCGCUUUAUAGAUGAAAUUGGAUUAAAGGAUCUGAGCAAACUAUGCAUGAUACUGUAUUUACAGCAUGUGUCAUCUGGAAAUAUUACAGCACCCAGCCUAUCCGUCUUCCUCCCCACCGGGGCACGUUUGUGCAGGAAAGCCAAGUUUAAUAAAAAAACUCCAUUUAGCUCUGUGGCCAAUGAAGCUUCAGUGGAAGCACAGGAGAGGGGGGAAAACACUGUUUUUCAAGGCUUGCUCCACAUUCAGAUGGGCCUCUGCGGUCCAAUGCCAGUUUUUAUUCAAUCUGGACUGAGUGCCGGAUAAAUGGAUCACAUUGAUCUAUUUAUUAUAAGAAAAAGAAGAACACAGAAAUAAGCUUGACUAAUGCCCAGUGAGUUGGGGAUUUAAAUAGCCUCUCCAACACAAGCAGCCAGUUAACCCUUCCCAGCAGGGGUCGUGUCAGGGCUCAGGGCAGCAUGAGGAACAGCCUGUCUCCUCCUGCUUGUGCUCCCACUGUCACUGCAGAUGAUGAACCAUGUGCCCUUUCCAGCCCAGGGGGUCCCUGCCUCGAGUGCCUCUCUGACACGGCAGCACAUCCCCAAAAAGGAUCCUGGUGAAUGGCCUGGGAGGACUCUGGGUUGUCUGUGGGCAGGGGCAGCUGUGCAGAGACAGAAAGAGCUGCAGCAUGAAGGCCGUGGGGAUGGGCUUGGAGGAGCAGGUGGCAGCGAGCCGCCUCUGAUGGGCUCAGCUGGAAGAUGUUUGCUGCAAAUGCCUUUGCCCUUUCCUCCUCAUUUUGCCUUUUCCAGGGUGGCUCUGCCAGCCUAUUUAGCAGCCAUGUGCUCCAUCCUCUCCCUGACUAUUCCUGCUGCCCUUGCCCUGGAUCCAAAGGUGUAAAUUCAGCCCCGAGGCGACGGCACUGCGACACCCGUGCUGGCUGCUGCAGCGAGGAUCACCGCAGCCGGGCAGCGGGCCGUGGUACGAUGCUGCCGCACCGUUUAUCUCCUCACAGCUGCAGCUGGGUUGUGCAGAGAAACAAAGCCAUUGGCCAUCUCGCCCUGCGGGAUGAGCCUGCCCGAAGGAUGUGGUCACGCUCUGGUAAGGAGAUGCAGGAUGCUGCCCGUUAAACCAUGGCUGUUCUUGGAGCUGGAGUGCGGCAGCGCCAGGGUGGGGUUAGUGUGAAGGACUGGCCUCGAUUAUUCUUUUCAGCAACACGAAGCGCUAGAAGGCUCCGCAGCUAGAGAUCAAUUUUCUCUGCUCUCACCGCAACUACUUUGUGCAAUGGGAAGUGGCUUUUUCCUCCCCCCUUCCCAUUGUGCUGAGACUUGGUGGGUGAUGCCAGGGAUGGAGGUGGCCGCCUUGCCAGUAGGAGGGCAACAGGGGACCCUGCAGAGCCACAGCCCGGCCACGCGCCAGCCCUUCCCUGGGGCGGUGCUGACGGAGGGUGCCAAAGCCUUUCGCGCAGCCAUUGAAGAGCAACUAAAUAGUGCCAGGAAAGAAAGCCCAGCUCAGCCAUCAGCAUCACUCGGCACAGCAUGGGGACUCUCAGCUGCUGCCUCUUCUUCUGCUGUGACAGCCCUUCUCGUUCGCUGCAAAGCUCUGGCUAAUGGAGGAGGAUUUUCUUUCUAGGGAACAUGCAAAAAUUUGUGUUGAGCAGGUGAAAUAUGCAAAGACCUCAUGUUUAAGUGACCAGAGACAUAGUGGUGGCACAAGAUAUGAAGACUAAACACAGAGGAAUUUGAACUGCUUCAGAACUAGGCAGUCAAGCUGGAAAAAACCCUCCAAAAUUAAGAGACUUGCAGAAUUCUAAGAGGAUGGGGACGAACUUGGCAUGGGAUUAAAUAUUGGGGAAAAGAUUAGAAAAGUGAAAACCAGGAGAUAAGAAAAGCCUGAGGAUGAAGUAGAUGGACCAGCUCAAGGAGAGCUGUCAGCCCAUGGACAAGGACUAGCCCAGGGAUGAGCCUCUGUACUUUUCCCCCAGCAUCUCCAGCCCAUACUCCCACAUUGCACCUGCCUCUGGGUCUGCCGUGGCACCAGGCAAAGGCGAGAGCACCCUCUCUCUGGCACCAGGAGAGGUGAGCUUACCUGGGGGCUGCUGAUGCUGACAUACACAUGGCUCCAUGUGCAGCAGACCACAGCUCUGCAUGUGUUGGGCUCUGUUUGUUUGUCCGUCUCUGCAAGGAUGGCGAGGUGGCUGGCUGCCUUGGAGGCCAGGAGGGAGCCCCAGCCCAAUCAGAGCCACGCUUGGUUUCACCAACCAUGGGUUUGAGCCUCUCCAGACAGCGCAAUUCAGGAAAUUCUUUGCAAGGCUGAAGUGCUGCUUUGCAACAACAAACCAUUCAGCAGCCCCUCGCUGCUGAAGGCAGAGAUUCAGUUGGGGUUUGGAUCGCUGGCUUUCAUCCACCAAAUGAACUCGAGCAAGUUCAUAAACUGCAGAACAAAAUGCUGAAGACCGUGGGCAAUUAGAGCAGAGACCUCUGGAGUCCUCCCCGGCAUGGAGAGCUCCAGCGAGGCUGUCAGCGGCCCCUGCUGUUUCUGAUCCUGGCUGGCAAAUAUUAAUUCUAUUUGUUUCAAGUUGAGAAAUUCGAUUGGAAUACUCUAAUUAAGCAGUUUCAGUGCUUUUCUCCUCCAAGGACCUUCCCCAGACAAGCACUUUAACUCCUUGGGUCCCAUGGUGGGCUCCUGGACGAGACACGCUCUGAAGUCAGCAGGUUCAGCUCCCUUGAUGGCAACGAUGGAUGCCACACAUUAUCCAUGCUGAAGCUCCUGAGGUGUCGUGAAGCCCUUUGCGGGUGCCUGGAUUGCCUCCAAGUGGCCAGGAGUCAUUUCUCGGGGAGCUGACAGGUUCUGGCAUGGAGGACAAGCAGAUUUGCACCGUCGGCUUCCCUUGCCAGGAAGGCUGAUAAAGUGUCUCAUAAUGAGCUCGCCGUGUUCUUGCUUCGCAGACAGUUUUGUCAGCUUUUUGCAAAUGCAGUCUGGGGAGAAGCCUGGCUGGCUGUUGCUCACAGCUCUGCCAAUGCACUUGUCUGGAAAGCGUUUUCUUCCAGCCUCAGGUUAAACCAGAAGCAUCUCGGCCCCUGAUCUGCCUCCAGCCUCAUGAAGAGCCACAUGGGGACAUGUUCCUGGCACGUGGGCUCUCCAGUGGCAUCGCUGUGUGUACACAUCCUCAGCUGUGCCUGGAGAAAAGCAACAGGUGGGAAGCGAAUGCCGUUAAUGGAUGAGCAAGGCCAUGCCAUGCAGAUGGGCCAUCCCACAGCAGCUGGGGACACUGAUAUCGGCCACCUGAGAUACAUAGCUCUGAUAUGCCAUGAGUGCUGCCAGGAACCGGUUUCACUGUGUUAGUGCACUUUGUCCCAGGCAGGAGCGAUGAUCCGGGUUGCCCUAGGAAAGAGGUACCAGUGUUUCAGCAGAUACAUCCCCGUAGCGCUGAGCCAAGGCACCCAGAUCCUGCUGGCAAAGCAAGGUGCUCAGCUGUCUCGGUGACACCGCCCGCCCAGGGCUGGACAAGAGGCUGCGCAGCGGUUGUAAUGAUCUGAGAUCAUCCUGCACUGGACGGGAGCACAACCUGGCAGCUCCCGCCCGGGGAUUCAGCACACUUUAAUGAGCUCAGCCCUGGAGUCUGAACGGAGGAAUUAACGAUUCAGGAUAAUACUUGUCACUUUGCUACAAGGAAAUAGUCGAGUGAAAAGUAAUUUAUUAAAAAGAAGAAAGAAAUGGUUUUGCUUAUUAAGAUCAACAUCAUAUUAAAGUAUUUUCUCAAUACGCCAUUUGGGCUGAAUUUUACAUUUUAUCUCUCUCUUUCCCUGCAAAGGGAAUAAGCAGAGACUUUCACUCUAAUUAAUUGUUAGCUGCUUCACUUUGCUAGUGCAUUUCAUGCACAAGAUUGCACAUUUCAGUGGCAUUUGAAUUGCAAAUACUGCAGGAAUAUAAUAAAAAAGGAAAACCCGUGGAAUUUUGAAAGUGAAUGGGAAUUCUUCUGUUAGAAAUCAGUUUAAAAUUGCUUUAUUUUCACAAAUCUUAAAAAUUUAUCUUGACAGUGUACUAACUUUCCCUCCUCCUUUCUUUUCACUUGGGGUUUAAGGCAA